GACGAACGCUGGCGGCGUGCCUAAUACAUGCAAGUUGAGCGCUGAAGGUUGGUACUUGUACCCACUGGAUGAGCAGCGAACGGGUGAGUAACGCGUGGGGAAUCUGCCUUUGAGCGGGGGACAACAUUUGGAAACGAAUGCUAAUACCGCAUAAAAACUUUAAACACAAGUUUUAAGUUUGAAAGAUGCAAUUGCAUCACUCAAAGAUGAUCCCGCGUUGUAUUAGCUAGUUGGUGAGGUAAAGGCUCACCAAGGCGAUGAUACAUAGCCGACCUGAGAGGGGGAUCGGCCACAAUGGGACUGAGACACGGCCCAAACUCCUACGGGAGGGAGCAGUAGGGAAUCUUCGGCAAUGGACGAAAGUCUGACCGAGCAACGCCGCGUGAGUGAAGAAGGGUUUCGGAUCGUAAAACUCUGUUGGUAGAGAAGAACGUUGGUGAGAGUGGAAAGCUCAUCAAGUGACGGUAACUACCCAGAAAGGGACGGCUAACUACGUG
rnacentral:rRNA from 1 species